rnacentral:lncRNA from 1 species
AAAGUACCUGGACCUCUAUGCCCAUGCUUCUAGCAGCCAGCCUCCUAAAAUACCUCUAGUUGAAGCCAAAGUUAGAAUCCUUCUACGAAACUACAGGAUUAAAAUGGAAUGGUUACAUGACCCAGGCUUGACCAAUCAGAUCAUCCAAACCCUUUGCCACAGUGAUUGGUCCAGGGAUACAUGCAUGAGCCAGCUCAGGUGGCAUUGUAUUAUGCGCCAAGAGUGAACCAGAUAGAGGAAGUUGCUCCUUAAGCUUGCAGGUCUGAAAGAACAAGGAAUUGCCUCUCUUCAAAGAUAAGAAGUCCAGCCACUUCUUUAAUUUAUCGGAUUAUAAGGCCUAAGCCACACUCAUCUUGUGGAUGACACUGGAGCUGUGACAGUCUGUUCUGUCCAGGCAGGGUGUCUUUUAUUUUUAUUGGAAAUAAGAUUAUCACAGCCCUUUGAGAGCUUCUGUGUCUCAACAUCAGAAAAUCAUCCUAGAUCCAUACUUGUACACAACAGUCUGUGCCAGUGAGAUUCAUUCUUUUGGGAGCUCUGCUAAUAAUGCACGAAUUGCUGGCUGUUGAUACUCUUUCUCAU